rnacentral:misc_RNA from 1 species
CACUUUUCCCUCUAAAACGCUUCGUUUCAAUUUCGAAGUUUCAGAUCUCCUUUUGUCUGUUUCUGGCUGAUAAUGGAUACUUCAAAGGAGAAGAAAGGUGCCGGAGGAAGAAGAGGAGGGGAUAGGAAGAAGGCUGUUUCGAAGUCGAUCCGGGCGGGGCUCCAAUUCCCAGUUGGUCGAAUUGCUAGGUUUCUCAAAAAGGGUCGUUAUGCUCAGAGAUUUGGGGUCGGAGCCCCGAUAUAUCUCGCUGCAGUUCUUGAGUAUCUAGCCGCUGAGGUGUUGGAGUUGGCUGGGAAUGCAGCACGAGACAACAAGAAGAAUAGAAUUAACCCUAGGCAUGUGCUUUUAGCAGUGAGGAACGAUGAAGAGUUAGGGAAAUUGCUUCAAGGAGUGACCAUUGCUAGUGGUGGGGUGCUACCCAACAUCAACCCAGUUCUUUUGCCCAAGAAAUCUGCGGCUACUGAUAAACCUUCAGCGUCAAAAUCCCCCAAGUCCGCCAAAAGCGCUUAAAGAUGAAUCCUACUAGUUAUGUAUUAGUUCCAAUAAUGGAAUGCAGGAUCUAGGAGUUAGUCUUAGUCUUUUUCCCCUUUUUUUUUUUUGAAACAAGGAAACUUC